rnacentral:rRNA from 1 species
GGUUGACCUCGGAUCAGGUAGGGAUACCCGCUGAACUUAAGCAUAUCAAUAAGCGGAGGAAAAGAAACCAACAGGGAUUGCCCCAGUAACGGCGAGUGAAGCGGCAAGAGCUCAAAUUUGAAAGCUGGCCCCCUCGGGGUCCGCAUUGUAAUUUGCAGAGGAUGCUUCGGGAGUGGCCCCCAUCUAAGUGCUCUGGAACGGGCCGUCAUAGAGGG